rnacentral:snRNA from 1 species
UUGCUUUGGCAGCACAUAUACUGACAUUAGGACCAUACAGAGAAGAUACAUGGCUCCUGCACAAGGAUGAGAUGCAAAUUUGUGAAGAGUUCCAUAUUUUU